GUACACGCUGUGACUAGCAUAUCAAUAAGCGGAGGAAAAGAAACUAACAAGGAUUCCCCUAGUAACGGCGAGUGAAGCGGGAAGAGCUCAAAUUUGAAAUCUUAAAGGGUUUCCCUUUACGAAUUGUAGUUUAAAGAAGUGUUUUCCUGUUGAGGUUUUGGUAAAAGUUCUUUGGAAUAGGACAUCAUAGAGGGUGAGAAUCCCGUAUUUGACCUUUACUUUCAACUUUGUGAUACACUUUCAAAGAGUCGGAUUGUUUGGGAAUGCAGUCCAAAAUGGGUGGUAAAUUUCAUCUAAAGCUAAAUAUUGGCGAGAGACCGAUAGCGAACAAGUACCGUGAGGGAAAGAUGAAAAGAACUUUGAAAAGAGAGUUAAACAGUACGUGAAAUUGUCAAAAGGGAAGCGUUUGACACCAGUGUUGUUUUUCUGAAAAUCAAUUAAAGAACUGUUUAUGCUAAGCUGUUUAGACUUUAUCAGCUAUCUGUUUAGUUUUGAGCUUUUCUUUAAUGCACUUUUCAGUUAUACAAGUCAACAUCAAUUUCUUUUGCUGUAAAAAAGCUUGAGGAAGGUGGCUUGAGAUUCGUCUUAAGUGUUUAUAGCCUCUUGCCUAUGCAGUCGGAGAGAUUGAGGUCUGCAGCGUAGAUCCUUCGGGGCUAAAUGCAUUUGUGCUAAGUUAUAGCAUUUUAUAGACAACUUGUUGACUAUGAUUUGUCUUGUAGCUUACUCGCUUAUGUUAUUUUACCUACGCUUAGGAUGUUGACGCGCGUGUGUGCGUG
rnacentral:rRNA from 1 species